UUCUAAGAGCUAAAGAUGGGACUCUUCUCCAAUUGAAAUUGGUUUAAAAUCACUUGGCUCAUCAUCUCCUUCUGUUGUUCCUACAAUGGAUGGAUUGUUCUUGUACAUGCUUUCUACAUAGUUAUCUCAACUUGUUCUACAUACUUGUGUACAAAGGAUAUUGAAAGAUUGAUAGCAGUUGGGGAUAAUUUGAUCUUGGCGAUUUUUAUACAUACUUAUUUAUACAACACCACUUGAUUUUGCAGUGCGUUGUUUUCGUUGAAGGUGUCGUAGCGUGAAUUUUUCACUCUGAUCAUUGUGGUGGCACUGUGAUUUUGAAGUAUCCAACAAGAGAAUAAGUCGAACAAAAGUGCGACUGUUAGUGGUUUAUGAAUACAAGUGAACCAGAACCACUCAGAAACAAGAAACAAGCAGUUGAAGCCAUUGGUGGUAAUCCAUUUUCAGGUGUUUCCCAUGUGAAUGUUUUUCCAUGGGACACCAAUUCAGGGUUUCACUCUAUUACAUGUCAAUUUUCUGACUAGCUUUUUGGAUCUGAUCCCCGAUAGGCAAUUAAUUUGGUUGAUGAAACUCUGCUAUUAACUAGAAGUGGAAGUUUGAAUGUGGCUAGGAGGGAUACUGAGAAUCAAUGGCAUUUCUUAAUUCUCUUCUUAGAAAUUCAUUUUUGUUUAUGUUUAUAAAUUUCAUUUACACAGUCGUUGCAUAUAUAGAAAUGACAUGGUAAAUUUGGUUUGAA